GGAAUUUUGGACAAUGGGGGCAACCCUGAUCCAGCCAUGCCGCGUGUGUGAAGAAGGCCUUCGGGUUGUAAAGCACUUUCGGACGGAACGAAAUCGCACGGGUGAAUAUCCCGUGUGGAUGACGGUACCUGAAGAAGAAGCCCCGGCUAACUUCGUGCCAGCAGCCGCGGUAAUACGAAGGGGGCUAGCGUUGUUCGGAAUUACUGGGCGUAAAGCGCACGUAGGCGGACUUGUCAGUCAGGGGUGAAAUCCCGAGGCUUAACCUCGGAACUGCCUUUGAUACUGCAAGUCUUGAGGAUGAGAGAGGUAAGUGGAACUGCGAGUGUAGAGGUGAAAUUCGUAGAUAUUCGCAAGAACACCAGUGGCGAAGGCGGCUUACUGGCUCAUUUCUGACGCUGAGGUGCGAAAGCGUGGGGAGCAAAC
rnacentral:rRNA from 1 species